rnacentral:miRNA from 1 species
UUGGUACCGAACCGGCUGAGU